GAACGCUGGCGGCGUGCUUAACACAUGCAAGUCGAACGGUCUGAGCAAUCGGACAGUGGCGCACGGGUGAGGAACACGUAGCUUAUCUGCCCUCGAGCGUGGGAUAACGUCCCGAAAGGGAUGCUAAUACCGCAUAAGCUCCCGGAAAGUAGAGGACUGGGAGAAAAGGCGCAAGUCGCUUGAGGAGGAGGCUGCGGCCCAUCAGGUAGUUGGUGCGGUAAUGGCGCACCAAGCCAACGACGGGUAGGGGACCUGAGAGGGUCGA
rnacentral:rRNA from 1 species